rnacentral:misc_RNA from 1 species
GCUGAAGAACGUAGCGAAAUGCGAUAAGUAAUGUGAAUUGCAGAAUUCAGUGAAUCAUCGAAUCUUUGAACGCACCUUGCGCCCUUUGGCUAUUCCGAAGGGCAUGCCUGUUUGAGUAUCGUGAACACCUCAACUCUCAUGGUUUGCCAUGAUGAGCUUGGACUUUGGGGGUUUUGCUGGCCUUUUGUCGGCUCCUCUCAAACGGAUCAGCUUUCCAGUGUUUGGUGGCGUCACGGGUGUGAUAACUAUCUACGCCUGUGGUUUUCUGCCAGAUAACCUUCAGCGAUGGAGGUUCGCUGGGGCUCAUAAAUGUCUCUCUUCAGUGGAGACAGCUUUUUGGACGUUUGAUCUCAAAUCAGGUAGGACUACCCGCUGAACUUAAGCAUAUCAAUAAGCGGAGGA